rnacentral:piRNA from 1 species
UGUUAAAUACCGAAACUUGAA